rnacentral:rRNA from 1 species
AUUGAACGCUGGCGGCAUGCUUUACCACAUGCAAGUCCGGACGGCAGCGGGGGUGCUUGCACCUGCCGGCGAGUGGCGAACGGGUGAGUCAACGUAUUGGAAUGUACCGAGUAGUGGGGGAUAACCAAUCCGAAAGAUUGGCUAAUACCGCAUACGUCCCUGAGGGGGAAAGCAGGGGAUCUUCGGACCUUGCGCUAUUUGAGCAGCCAAUAUCUGAUUAGCUAGUUGGUGGGGUCAAAGGCCCACCAAGGCGACGAUCAGUAGCGGGUCUGAGAGGAUGAUCCGCCACAUCUGGGACUGAGACACGGCCCCCCACUCCUACGGGGAGGCAGCAGUGGGGAAUUUUGGACAAUGGGGGCAACCCUGAUCCAGCCAUGCCGCGUGUCCUGAAGAAGGCCUUCCGGGUUGUAAAGGACUUUUGUUAGGGAAGAAAAGGGAAGUGUUAAUACCACUUUUUGCUGACGGUACCUAAAGAAUAAGCACCGGCUAACUACGUGCCAGCAGCCGCGGUAAUACGUAGGGUGCGAGCGUUAAUCGGAAUUACUGGGCGUAAAGCGAGCGCAGACGGUUACUUAAGCAGGAUGUGAAAUCCCCGGGCUCAACCUGGGAACUGCGUUCUGAACUGGGUAGCUAGAGUAUGUCAGAGGGGGGUAGAAUUCCACGUGUAGCAGUGAAAUGCGUAGAGAUGUGGAGGAAUACCGAUGGCGAAGGCAGCCCCCUGGGAUAAUACUGACGUUCAUGCUCGAAAGCGUGGGUAGCAAACAGGAUUAGAUACCCUGGUAGUCCACGCCCUAAACGAUGUCGAUUAGCUGUUGGGCAACUUGAUUGCUUAGUAGCGUAGCUAACGCGUGAAAUCGACCGCCUGGGGAGUACGGUCGCAAGAUUAAAACUCAAAGGAGUUGACGGGGACCCGCACAAGCGGUGGAUGAUGUGGAUUAAUUCGAUGCAACGCGAAGAACCUUACCUGGUCUUGACAUGUACGGAAGAACUCAGAGACGAGUGGGUGCCUCCGGGAGCCGUAACACAGGUGCUGCAUGGCUGUCGUCAGCUCGUGUGUGAGAUGUGGGCUUAGUCCGCCACGAG